rnacentral:rRNA from 1 species
GAUGAACGCUGGCGGCGUGCCUAAUACAUGCAAGUCGAGCGAACAGACGAGGAGCUUGCUCCUCUGACGUUAGCGGCGGACGGGUGAGUAACACGUGGAUAACCUACCUAUAAGACUGGGAUAACUUCGGGAAACCGGAGCUAAUACCGGAUAAUAUAUUGAACCGCAUGGUUCAAUAGUGAAAGACGAUUUUGCUGUCACUUAUAGAUGGAUCCGCGCCGCAUUAGCUAGUUGGUAAGGUAACGGCUUACCAAGGCAACGAUGCGUAGCCGACCUGAGAGGGUGGUCGGCCACACUGGAACUGGACCACGGUCCAGACUCCUACGGGAGGCAGCAGUAGGGAAUCUUACGCAAUGGGCGAAAGCCUGGCGGAGCAACGCCGCGUGAGUUAUGACGGUCUUCGGAUCGUAAAACUCUGUUAUUAGGGAAGAACAAAUGUGUAAGUAACUAUGCACGUCUUGACGGUACCUAAUCAGAAAGCCACGGCUAACUACGUG